AACGAACGCUGGCGGCAUGCCUAACACAUGCAAGUCGAACGAGACCUUCGGGUCUAGUGGCGCACGGGUGCGUAACGCGUGGGAACCUGCCCUUAGGUUCGGAAUAACUCCCCGAAAGGGGUGCUAAUACCGAAAAUGUUCUCCGACCAAAGAAUUUAUUCCCUUGGAUGGGCCCGCCUUGGAUUAGCUAGUUGGUAGGGUAAAAGCCUACCAAGGCGACGCAUCAUAGCUGGGCUGAGAGGAUGAUCAGCCACACUGGGACUGAGACACCGCCCAGACUCCUACGGGAGGCAGCAGUGGGGAAUAUUGGACAAUGGGCGAAAGCCUGAUCCAGCAAUGCCGCGUGAGUGAUGAAGGCCGUAGGGUUGUAAAGCUCUUUUACCCGGGAUGAUAAUGACAGUACCGGGAGAAUAAGCUCCGGCUAACUCCGUG
rnacentral:rRNA from 1 species